rnacentral:rRNA from 1 species
UACGUAGGGGGCGAGCGUUGUCCGGAUUUACUGGGCGUAAAGGGUGAGUAGGCGGUUAUGUAUGUCAGAUGUAAAAGGCACAGGCUUAACUUGUGUUAGCAUUUGAAACUGCAUAACUUGAGUGCAGGAGAGGUAAGUGGAAUUCCUAGUGUAGCGGUGAAAUGCGUAGAUAUUAGGAGGAACACCAGUGGCGAAGGCGACUUACUGGACUGUAACUGACGCUGAGUCACGAAAGCGUGGGUAGCAAACAGG